rnacentral:rRNA from 1 species
GACGAACGCUGGCGGCGUGCUUAACACAUGCAAGUCGAACGGAAAGGCCCUGCGGUUUUGGGGUGCUCGAGUGGCGAACGGGUGAGUAACACGUGAGUAACCUGCCCUUAACUUUGGGAUAACUUCAUGAAACUGGGGCUAAUACCGGAUAGGAGCUCCUGCUUCAUUGUGGGGGUGGGAAAGUUUCGGCGGUUGGGGAUGGACUCGCGGCUUAUCAGCUUGUUGGUUGGGUAGUGGCUUACCAAGGCUUUGACGGGUAGCCGGCCUGAGAGGGUGACCGGCCACAUUGGGACUGAGAUACGGCCCAGACUCCUACGGGAGGCAGCAGUGGGGAAUAUUGCACAAUGGGCGGAAGCCUGAUGCAGCAACGCCGCGUGCGGGAUGACGGCCUUCGGGUUGUAAACCGCUUUCGCCUGUGACGAAGCGUGAGUGACGGUAAUGGGUAAAGAAGCACCGGCUAACUACGUG